rnacentral:ncRNA from 1 species
UAAUCACAUCAAGAGAGGGUGAAAGCCCCGCCAACCAGCCUAAUCGGGCAACGGUGGUCUUAAGAUGCGACCCUUAGGGUAACAAUUCGAUUAAGG